rnacentral:misc_RNA from 1 species
GUGAAUCAUCGAAUCUUUGAACGCAAAUUGCACUCUCCUCGGAGAGUAUGCCUGUUUGAGGGUCAGCCUAUAAAAAAUCGACAUCGUUGCUGUUUCGCGGUGGCGUUCGUCGGAAAUUGGGUCAUCUUAAAUCCUUUUGAUUUAAGCGACUUAACAUUUUCUUUUGGUUCCAUGAACGUUUCUAAGAUCUAUUUCUUUACACGUUUAAGGUAUCGAUUUUUAUUAGACGCGGUCGUCAUAUCGGCUCGCGUCGAUAAUUUUUCGCUAAUUGACUUA